GACGAACGCUGGCGGCGUGCUUAACACAUGCAAGUCGAACGGAAAGGCCCUGCUUUUUUGGGGUUCCCGGGUGGCGAACGGGUGAGUAAGACGUGAGUAACCUGCCCUUCCCUUUCGUAUAACUUCACGAAACUGGGGCUAAUACCGGAUAGGAGCUCCUGCUCUAUGGCGUGGGUUGGAUAGUUUCGGCUGUUGGGGAUGGGCUCGCGGCUUUUCAGCUUGCUGGUGGGGUAGUGGCUUACCAAGGCUUUGACGGGUAGCCGGCCUGAGAGGGUGACCGGGCACCUGGGGACUGAGAUACGGCCCAGAGUCGUACGGGAGACAGCAGUGGGGAAGAUUGCACAAUGGGCGGAAGCCGGAUGAGGCAACGCCGCGUGCGGGAUGACGGCCUUCGGGUUGAGAAAAGCAGUCGCGUGUGACGAAGCGGGGGUGACGGUAAUGGGUAAAGAAGCACCGGCUAACUACGUG
rnacentral:rRNA from 1 species